rnacentral:rRNA from 1 species
UGCGGGGGGUGUAAUAUUGCACAAUGGGCGCAAGCCUGAUGCAGCCAUGCCCCGUGUGUGAAGAAGGCCUUCGGGUUGUAAAGCACUUUCAGUCAGGAGGAAAGGUUAGUAGUUAAUACCUGCUAGCUGU